GUCAACCUGCUCGGGUCCCCUUCCAUGCUUUGGAAGCUUCGUUCUUUCACUCUUCACAAUAAAUCUUGCUGCUGCUCACUCUCUGGAUCUGCACCACCUUUAAGAGCUGUAACACUCGCUGUGAAGAUCCGUGGCUUCAUUCUUGAGGUCAGUGAGACCACGAACCCACCAGAAGGAAGAAACUCUGGACACAUCUGAAGGAACAAACUCCAGACACACCAUCUUUAAGAGCUGUAACACUCACUGAGAAGGUCCAUGGAUUCAUUCUUGAAGUCAGCAAGACCAAGAACCCACUGGAAGGAACCAACUCCGGACACAUCUUGGUGACCCAGAUGGGACUAUUGCCAAGCAGAUAGAGGCCAUCAAGCUACAGAAGGUCUUACAAAUGGAAUCCCAAAUGAGCUCAACUAACAACUUUUACCCAGGACACCUGGACCGACCCACUGGCCCUUUGGCCUAAAGAGUCCCCCUCUGGAGGACACUAUAACUGCAGGGCCCCUUCUUGACCCCUUUCCAGCAGGAAGUAGCUACAGCAGUCAUCGUCCAAUUCCCAAGAGCAGCUGGGGUGUCCUGUUUAGAGGGGGGAUUGAGCGGUGAAGCCAGCUGGACUUCCUGGGUCGAGUGGGGACUUGGAGAACUUUUCUGUCUAGCUAAAGGAUUGUCAAUGUACCAAUCAGCAUUCUGUAAAAAUGCACCAAUCAGUGCUCUGUGUCUAGCUAAAGGGUUGUAAACACACCAAUCAGCAUUCUGUAAAAAUGCACCAAUCAGUGCUCUGUGUCUAGCUAAAGGAUUGUAAAUGCACCAAUCAGCACUCUGUAAAAUGGACCAAUCAGCGCUCUGCAAAAUGGACCAAUCAGCAGGACAUAGGCGGAAACAAGUAAGGGAAUAAACUGGCCAACCCAGCCAGCAGUGGCAACCUGCUCGGGUCCCCUUCCAUGCUGUGGAAGCUUGGUUCUUUCAUUCUUCACAAUAAAUUUGCUGCUGCUCACUUUUUGGGUCUGCACCAUCUUUAAGAGUUGUAACACUCACCACAAAGGUCUGUGGCUUCAUUCUUGAAGUCAGCGAGACCAAGAACCCAUCAGAAGGAAGCAACUCGACACAUCUGAAGGAAUAAACUCUGGACACACCAUUUUUAAGAGCUGUAACACUCACCAUGAAGGUUCAUGGCUUCAUUCUUAAAGUCAGUGAGACCAAGAACCCACUGGAAGGAACCAACACUGGAGACAUAAUCACAAUAUUAUCAUGAUGCUACCAUGAUUUUUCAUGGGAUAUAAUGAUGCUCUCUAAUAAGCACUUAAAAAUUGUGUACAUUAUGCUAUGUUCCUUAGUAUCAUUACCUUUGUAUCUCUACAAGACGCUCUGAUCAGUCCUCUGAUUUGUAUUAUCUGCAUGUUCCCUUGCCCCCUCUUCUUGACACUUUUCAUUAAUAGAUUUUCCUACUCCAAAACUUUUUUUUCCAUUCAUAGGUUUCCCUACUCAAAAAAUUUCUCUUGUUUUUCUCCUCAAUAUUAUUCUCUGUCUGUAUGUCUCUCUUUCUUUCUUUGUCUUACUGUUAUACAUAAAGACAGUCCAGAGCAGAUCAAAACAUAGUCAUUUUUGCCAAGCAGGAUCUUCUCAAAAGGAUGUGUGUGGAAAGCUUAUUGAAUUCAAUAGCAAAAUAACAUCUAGAUUUAAUUGCUUUGAGUUUUGAAUAAUAAUAUGUGUUUAACUUUGUAUCUCAAUAAUAUUAAAAUACAAAUUGAGUUUUUUGGGGUUUAUCAUGAAGAAGUAGGCUUCUAUAUGGUUGAGAAACCAAAAAGAAUUUCUCUGUGCAGUCGCAGAACUGAAAGAUGACUAAUAUAUCAGCGCCUUAUU